GCUUGUCUCAAAGAUUAAGCCAUGCAUGUUCAAGUAUAGCAAGUGUACAGUGAAACUGCGAAUGGCUCAUUAAAUCAGUUAUAAUUUAUUUGAUAGUGAAAUUGUACAUGGAUAACCGUGGCAAUUCUAGGGCUAAUACAUGCGAAAAAUCUCGACUCACGGAGAGAUGCUUUUAUUAGAUCAAAACCAAACGGCUUCGGCCGUCUCAUUGGUGACUCUGAAUAACUUUGGGCUGAUCGUAUGGCCUUGUGCCGACGACGUUUCCUUCGAAGGUGUGCCCUAUCAACUGUCGACUGUGAUAUAGACGCUCACAGUGGUUUUGACGGGUAACGGGGAAUCAGGGUUCGAUUCCGGAGAGGGAGCCUUAAAAACGGCUACCACAUCCAAGGAAGGCAGCAGG
rnacentral:rRNA from 1 species